rnacentral:piRNA from 1 species
UGGCAUUUCUCCUUCACCACUGGAAAC